CUUGAGUCUACUUGGACCAAAUUUAGUGUCAGAGUAUUCUGUUAUUUUUCUUUCUAUGACUUCUCCUCCUUCCCCCUCCACUCAGGUUACUGAGAUCGCCAACCGUGGGGGCUCCAAGACCCAAGGGCCACAGCAUCAGCCAGGCUCAGAGGGUCCCAGCUAUGCCAAAAAAGUUGCACUGUGGAUUGCUGGUUUGCUUGGGGCUGGUGGGACUGUCAGCAUCGUCUACAUUUUUGGUAAGAGACAUAACCCUCAAUUGUUGGCCCCAGAUAUCUACUGUGAAACUCCCUUUUCUUUCUUCAUGCUGAGUUCAUUCCCUGACUCCUCCCUCAAUAAGGCCAUCAACUAGGAUACUCACCUUGAAAUUCAAGAAGUCCCCUUCUA
rnacentral:lncRNA from 1 species